CAAGUCGGACGGGAUUGGAGAGCUUGCUUUCCAUGAGAGUGGCGCACGGGUGCGUAACACGUAUGUAACCUACCCAUAUCAGGGGGAUAGCCUCUCGAAAGAGAGAUUAAGCCCGCAUAAAAUCACAGUGCAGCAUUGCAUAAUGAUCAAAUAUUUAUAGGAUAUGGAUGGGCAUGCGGAACAUUAGCUAGUUGGUAAGGUAACGGCUUACCAAGGCUACGAUGUUUAGGGGAUCUGAAAGGAUGACCCCCCACACUGGUACUGAGACACGGACCAGACUCCUACGGGAGGCAGCAGUAAGGAAUAUUGGUCAAUGGACGGAAGUCUGAACCAGCCAUGCCGCGUGCAGGAAGACGGCCCUACGGGUUGUAAACUGCUUUUGUACCGGAAUAAACCUCUUUACGUGUAAAGAGUUGAAUGUACGGUAAGAAUAAGGAUCGGCUAACUCCGUGCCAGCAGCCGCGGUAAUACGGAGGAUCCGGGCGUUAUCCGGAUUUAUUGGGUUUAAAGGGUGCGUAGGCGGCCUGUUAAGUCAGGGGUGAAAGACGGUAGCUCAACUAUCGCAGUGCCCUUGAUACUGAUGGGCUUGAAUGUACUAGAGGUAGGCGGAAUGUGACAAGUAGCGGUGAAAUGCAUAGAUAUGUCACAGAACACCAAUUGCGAAGGCAGCUUACUAUGGUAUGAUUGACGCUGAGGCACGAAAGCGUGGGGAUCAAACAGGAUUAGAUACCCUGGUAGUCCACGCCCUAAACGAUGAAUACUCGAUGUUAGCGAUAUACAGUUAGCGUCAAAGCGAAAGCGUUAAGUAUUCCACCUGGGGAGUACGCCCGCAAGGGUGAAACUCAA
rnacentral:rRNA from 1 species